rnacentral:rRNA from 1 species
AUUGAUUGGCGGUCACGUCGAGCUUCCAUAGCGUAGUAGUAAAACCCUCGUUACUGGUAAUCGUCGCGGCCACGCCGUUAAACCCCAACUUCUGAAUGUUGACCUCGGAUCAGGUAGGAAUACCCGCUGAACUUAAGCAUA